AAGGAGAAGUCGUAACAAGGUUUCCGUAGGUGAACCUGCGGAAGGAUCAUUGCCGUCUCUAGAACCACCACCGGCGAACCAGUCCCCGCGGAAACGCCGCUCGCGGCGCGCGGCCCCCUGGGGAGGACCCGGGGACGCGCGUCCCGUCGAGCUCCGAACAAACCCUCUGGGCGCGGCGAGCGCCAAGGAAUCGAAGCGGAAAGGGCGGCCGCCCCGCCCGGUGCGGGCACGCGCCGAAAGGCGACGCGGCACCGCGGUGGGGGAUCCGCCGCCCGUCUGUGAAAUCUCUCAGACGACUCUCGGCAACGGAUAUCUCGGCUCUCGCAUCGAUUGAAGAACGUAGCGAAAUGCGAUACUUGGUGUGAAUUGCAGAAUCCCGUGAACCAUCGAGUCUUUGAACGCAAGUUGCGCCCGAGGCCCACUCGGCCGAGGGCACGCCUGCCUGGGCGUCACGCCACCCCUCGCCCCCCCCGCGCGGCAUUCCCAUGCCCCGCCGGGGAGCGGAGACUGGCCGUCCGUGCCCGAGCCCUCGGCGCGCGGUCGGCAGAAAAGGAGGGCACCGUGCGGCGCGACACGGCGUGUGGGGGUUGAGAGGCGAUCCGUCGCCGAUCGUACGUCGCGCCCGCAUUCCGCCGCGCGGUGCCGCCCGUGGGACCAGACUUCGCCCGCAGCCGCGGGCGCUCGGACCGCGACCCCAGGUCAGGCGUGGCCACCCGCUGAAUUUAAACAUAUCAAUAAGCGGAGGAGAAGAAACUUACGAGGAUUCCCC
rnacentral:rRNA from 1 species